rnacentral:rRNA from 1 species
CAGCAGCCGCGGUAAUACAGAGGGUGCGAGCGUUAAUCGGAUUUACUGGGCGUAAAGCGUGCGUAGGCGGCUUUUUAAGUCGGAUGUGAAAUCCCUGAGCUUAACUUAGGAAUUGCAUUCGAUACUGGGAAGCUAGAGUAUGGGAGAGGAUGGUAGAAUUCCAGGUGUAGCGGUGAAAUGCGUAGAGAUCUGGAGGAAUACCGAUGGCGAAGGCAGCCAUCUGGCCUAUACUGACGCUGAGGUACGAAAGCAUGGGGAGCAAACAGGAUUAGAUACCCCUGUAGUCCCUGUCUCUUAUACA